rnacentral:RNase_MRP_RNA from 2 species
GCACUGUGCGAAGAACCGCCGUCGCAGCCCACGCACAGAGAGCCCCCCCCUCUCCUCCUACGCUGCGGGGAAAGUCCCCGGAGACGCAGAGCCCGUCCCCGUCCACGCUGCAAAGCUCUCGCCCCCAAGCACGGCGAGUCGGCGGACGGCCGGACGCCUUGCUUGUCUCUCUUCCUCUCUGGUCGAGACCCACCUCGCGCCGGCCAGCUCUGCUGCCCCCAGCGUCCUCUGCGUGCGGCGCGAAGAUACGAGCGCCGUCGCCCCGCCCGAGGUCCGCUGCCGCGCAAUCGUUGCUCAUAGACACAGUUAUGCGGUCGUGGCUCUCCCUCGCGGAGACCCCACGAACACAAUGGGGCUUACUCUCGUUCAGUG